rnacentral:tRNA from 1 species
GGAACGAUAGCGCAACCGGGAGCGCACCGGCCUGAAGAGCCGGCGUGUCCAGGUUAGAGUCCUGGUCGUUCCA